rnacentral:rRNA from 1 species
UACAGAGGUCCCAAGCGUUGUUCGGAUUCACUGGGCGUAAAGGGUGCGUAGGUGGUGAGGUAAGUCGGAUGUGAAAUCUCCGAGCUCAACUCGGAAACUGCAUUGGAAAUUACCUUGCUCGAGGGUUGGAGGGGGGACUGGAAUGCUUGGUGUAGCAGUGAAAUGCGUAGAUAUCAAGCGGAACACCAGUGGCGAAGGCGAGUCCCUGGACAACUCCUGACACUGAUGCACGAAAGCUAGGGGAGCAAACAGG